rnacentral:rRNA from 1 species
CCUACGGGAGGCAGCAGUAGGGAAUAUUGCUCAAUGGGGGAAACCCUGAAGCAGCAACGCCGCGUGGAGGAUGAAGGUUUUCGGAUUGUAAACUCCUUUUGUUAGAGAAGAUAAUGACGGUAUCUAACGAAUAAGCCCCGGCUAACUCCGUUCCAGCAGCCGCGGUAAUACGGAGGGUGCAAGCGUUACGCGGAAUCACUGGGCGGAAAGAGCGCGUAGGCGGGUGUUCAAGUCAGAUGUGAAAUCCUAUGGCUUAACCACAGAACUGCAUUUGAAACUGUUAUGCUAGAGUAUGGGAGAGGUAGGUGGAAUUCUUGGUGUAGGGGUAAAAUCCGUAGAGAUCAAGAGGAAUACUCAUGGCGAAGGCGACCUGCUAGAACAAAACUGACGCUGAGGCGCGAAAGCGUGGGGAGCAAACAGGAUUAGAUACCCCAGUAGUC